rnacentral:rRNA from 1 species
CUUGGUCAUUUAGAGGAAGUAAAAGUCGUAACAAGGUUUCCGUAGGUGAACCUGCGGAAGGAUCAUUAUUGAAUAAACCUGAUGUGAUUGUUAGCUGGCUUUUCGAAGCAUGUGCUCGUCUGUCAUCUUUAUCUCUCCACCUGUGCACAUUUUGUAGUCUUGGAUACCUCUCGAGGAAACUCGGAUUUUAGGAUCGCUGUGCUGUACAAGUCGGCUUUUCUUUCAUUUCCAAGACUAUGUUUUUAUAUACACCAAAGUAUGUUUAUAGAAUGUCAUCAAUGGGAACUUGUUUCCUAUAAAAUUAUACAACUUUCAGCAACGGAUCUCUUGGCUCUCGCAUCGAUGAAGAACGCAGCGAAAUGCGAUAAGUAAUGUGAAUUGCAGAAUUCAGUGAAUCAUCGAAUCUUUGAACGCACCUUGCGCUCCUUGGUAUUCCGAGGAGCAUGCCUGUUUGAGUGUCAUUAAAUUCUCAACCUUCCAACUUUUAUUAGCUUGGUUAGGCUUGGAUGUUGGGGGGGUUGCGGGCUUCAAUAAUGAGGUCGGCUCUCCUUAAAUGCAUUAGUGGAACUUUUGUGGACCGUCUAUUGGUGUGAUAAUUAUCUACGCCGUGGAUGUGAAGCAGCUUUAUGAAGUUCUGCUUCUAACCGUCCAUUGACUUGGACAAUUUUUGACAAUUUGACCUCAAAUCAGGUAGGACUACCCGCUGAACUUAAGCAUAUCAAUAAGCGGAGGA